AAAGUUCCAGCAGGAUGUUUGUUUUAGAGAGAUAUGUGAACCUUUGCUGCCUAAGAAAGUACUGCCCAAGACUCCAAACAGAAGAACUCAAAAACAACAACAAUAAUGGAGGUUGAAUCAAUGACAGCUUUGGGGAGUAAUUGCUUCUCUUAGUCUUAGUUUAAAUGAGGAUGUAUUACCAUCAUUGUUUGACCCUUUUUUUUUGCCAUCACUGUUCACCUUUUAUUGGCUACAUUGUCCUA